rnacentral:rRNA from 1 species
UACGAAGGGGGCUAGCGUUGCUCGGAAUCACUGGGCGUAAAGCGCGCGUAGGCGGCUUGUUAAGUCAGGGGUGAAAGCCUGGAGCUCAACUCCAGAACUGCCCUUGAUACUGGCAAUCUCGAGUCCGGAAGAGGUAAGUGGAACUCCGAGUGUAGAGGUGAAAUUCGUAGAUAUUCGGAGGAACACCAGUGGCGAAGGCGGCUCACUGGUCCAUUACUGACGCUGAGGUGCGAAAGCGUGGGGAGCAAACAGG